rnacentral:rRNA from 1 species
UUCCCCUAGUAACUGCGAGUGAAGCGGGAAAAGCUCAAAUUUAAAAUCUGGCGGCUUUGGUCGUCCGAGUUGUAUCCUAGAGAAGUGUUUUCCGCGUUGGACCGUGUAUAAGUCUCUUGGAACAGAGCGUCAUAGAGGGUGAGAAUCCCGUCUUUGACACGGACUACCAAUGCUUUGUGAUACACUCUCAAAGAGUCGAGUUGUUUGGGAAUGCAGCUCAAAAUGGGUGGUAAAUUCCAUCUAAAGCUAAAUAUUGGCGAGAGACCGAUAGCGAACAAGUACCGUGAGGGAAAGAUGAAAAGCACUUUGGAAAGAGAGUUAAACAGUACGUGAAAUUGCUGAAAGGGAAACGAUUGAAGUCAGUCGCGUUAGCUAGAACUCAACCAGGCUUGCUUGGCGUAUUUUCUAGUUAACGGGCCAGCAUCAGUUUUGACCGCAGGAAAAAGGCCAGAGAAAUGUGGCACCCUCGGGUGUGUUAUAGUCUUUGGUCAUAUACUGCGAUUGGGACUGAGGUUCGCAGCACGCGCAAGCUGUGCUUAGGAUGCUGGCGUAAUGGCUUUAAACGACCCGUCUUGAAACACGGACCAAGGAGUCUAACAAACCUGCGAGUAUUUGGGUGGUAAACCCGAGUGCGCAAUGAAAGUAAAAGUUGGGAUCCCUGUCGUGGGGAGCACCGACGCCCGGACCAGACCUUCUGUGACGGAUCUGCGGUAGAGCAUGUUUGUUGGGACCCGAAAGAUGGUGAACUAUGCCUGAAUAGGGUGAAGCCAGAGGAAACUCUGGUGGAGGCUCGUAGCGAUUCUGACGUGCAAAUCGAUCGUCAAAUUUGGGUAUAGGGGCGAAAGACUAAUCG